CUUCCCCGCAGAGCUUUGCAAAGGCAAGUGACACUUGAUUGUUUUGUGAUGGGGAGGAUGGCUUCCGGGGGCGACCAGGAUGAGUUUUAAAUUCACGAGCAGUUGCAGGUCUGAGACUGACUGGGGAUGUUUGAAAAUCUGAGCUGCUGGCCAGAGCCUGCCACGCUGGUGAAUUCGGGAUGGAAGGGCAGAAGCACCAUAUGAGGGAGCAAGGCCCCUCAGCGUUGUGAAAAAGUGCUUGAAGAAAAUUACCUAGUGGGCAGCCAGGGACGGAGGGUUUACACUUUGGUUCACAUUUGAAGGUACAGUCCACCAUCACGAAGAAGGCAGUGUGGCAGAGUCACGAGGCAGCUGAUCAUGUGUCCACAUUCCGGAAGCAGAGCGAGAUAAACGUGCUCAGCACACGCCCCCCCACCCCUUUGUCUUGUUUUUAAUCUAUUUAUUACAAAAAUGUAUAUGGGCUGGAGAGGUAGUUCGGUGGUCAAGAGUCCUGACUGGUCAUCCAGAAGUCAAGUGUUCAAUUCCCAAGCCCCAAUAUGGCAUCUACAGAGGAUCCAGCGCCCUCUUCUGGCCCCUGCAUGCAUUGCGUGCACGUGGUGCACAGACAUAACUCAGGUAAAACACUUAUACACAUAAAAUUUAAAAAUCUAAAAAUUGCCAGGUCGUGCUGGCAUGCCUUUACUCCAGCACUCAGGACGCCGAGGCAGGCAGAUCCCUGAGUCUGAGAUCAGCCUGGUCCACAGACAGUUUCAAGACAGCCUUGCCUAGACAGAGAAACCCUGACAUGAAAAACAAGGAACAAAAAACAAACGAAAGUCUAAAUUAUUUAAAAGAGUAUGUUAUGUGUUCGUGUGUGGGCUUGGGUGCGCACUCCAUUUGUGCAGGAGCCUGGAGAGGUCAAUCCUGUGGAACCGGAGUUACAGGUGGCUGUGAGCCUCGACCUGGGUGACGGGAAUCAAAGGGGGGUACUCUGCAAGAGCACCUAGUGCUCUUCGCUUAGUGUUCCCUCCAGCCCCCAGCUCUCUCCUUUUCAUGCACUCAGCCAAUGGCACGAUGUCACUUAUAUUCAAAGUGGGCUUUCCCUCUUACAGCUCUCUGGAAACACCCUCACAUUAUUAUAAGGUCACGUUUCUAAGGCAGUGCCCCCGUUUGCCAGUAAGGCCUUCCUUAACAUUUCUUUUUUUCUUUUUUUUUUUUUUUUUUGGUAAAUUUGAAUAUGAAUUUAUUUUUUUUUUUUAUUAACUUGAGUAUUUCUUAUUCACAUUUCGAGUGUUAUUCCCUUUCCCGGUUUCCGGGCAAACAUCCCUCUAAUCCCUCCCCCUCCCCUUCUUUAUGGGUGUUCCCCUCCCCAUCCUCUCCCCAUUGCCGCCCUCCCCCCAACAAUCACAUUCACUGGGGGUUCAGUCUUAGCAGGACCCAGGGCUUCCCCUUACACUGAUGAUCUUACUAGGAUAUUCAAUGCUACCUAUGGGGUCAGAGUCCAGGGUCAGUCCAUGUAUAGUCUUUAGGUAGUGGCUUAGUCCCUGGAAGCUCUGGUUGCUUGGCAUUGUUGUACAUAUGGGGUCUCGAGCCCCUUCAAGCUCUUCCAGUUCUUUCUCUGAUUCCUUCAACGGGGGUCCCGUUCUCAGUUCAGUGGUUUGCUGCUGGCAUUCGCCUCUGUUUUUGCUGUAUUCAGGCUGUGUCUCUCAGGAGAGAUCUGCAUCCGGCUCCUGUCUGCCUGCACUUCUUUGCUUCAUCCAUCUUGUCUAAUUGGAUGGCUGUAUAUGUAUGGGCCACAUGUGGGGGCAGGCUCUGAAUGGGUGUUCCUUCUGUGUCUGUUUUAAUCUUUGCCUCUCUAUUCCCUGCCAAGGGUAUUCUUGUUCCCCUUUUAAAGAAGGAGUGAAGCAUUCACAUUUUGAUCAUCCGUCUUGAGUGUCACGUGUUCUAGGCAUCUAGGGUAAUUCAAGCAUUUGGGCUAAUAGCCACUUAUCAAUGAGUGCAUACCAUGUGUGUUUUUCUGUGAUUGGGUUACCUCACUCAGGAUGAUAUUUUCCAGUUCCAACCAUUUGCCUUUGAAUUUCAUAAAGGCAUUGUUUUUGAUAGCUGAGUAAUAUUCCAUUGUGUAGAUGUACCACAUUUUCUGUAUCCAUUCCUCUGUUGAAGGGCAUCUGGGUUCUUUCCAGCUUCUGGCUAUUAUAAAUAAGGCUGCUAUGAACAUAGUGGAGCACGUGUCUUUUUUAUAUGUUGGGGCAUCUUUUGGGUAUAUGCCCAAGGGAGGUAUAGCAGGAUCCUCAGGCAGUUCAAUGUCCAAUUUUCUGAGGAACCUCCAGACUGAUUUCCAGAAUGGUUGUUCUGAGUUCAGGGAUAGUGAUUCCCCCUGAAGUCCUUUUAUUGUUGAGGAUAGUUUUAGCUAUCCUGGUUUUUUUGUUAUUCCAGAUGAAUUUGCAAAUUGUUCUAACUCUUUGAAGAAAUGGAUUGGUAUUUUGAUGGGGAUUGCAUUGAAUCUGUAGAUCGCUUUUGGUAAAAUGGCCAUUUUUACUAUAUUAAUCCUGCCAAUCCAUGAGCAUGGGAGAUCUUUCCAUCUUCUGAGGUCUUCUUCAAUUUCUUUCUUCAGUGUCUUGAAGUUCUUAUUGUACAAAUCUUUUACUUGCUUGGUUAAAGUCACACCGAGGUACUUUAUACUAUUUGGGUCUAUUAUGAAGAGUGUCGUUUCCCUAAUUUCUUUCUUGGCUUGUUUCUCUUUUGUGUAGAGGAAGGCUACUGAUUUAUUUGAGUUAAUUUUAUACCCAGCCACUUUGCUGAAGUUGUUUAUCAGCUUUAGUAGUUCUCUGGUGGAACUUUUGGGAUCACUUAAAUAUACUAUCAUAUCAUCUGCAAAUAGUGAUAUUUUGACUUCUUCUUUUCCGAUCUGUAUCCCCUUGAUCUCCUUUUGUUGUCUGAUUUCUCUGGCUAGAACUUCAAGAAGUAUAUCGAAUAAGUAGGGAGAGAGUUGGCAGCCUUGUCUAGUCCCUGAUUGUAGUGGGAUUGCUUCAAGUUUCUCUCCAUUUAGUUUAAUGUUAGCUACUGGUUUGCUGUAUAUGGCUUUUACUAUGUUUAGGUAUGGACCUUGAAUUCCUGUUUGUUCCAGGACUUUUAUCAUGAAGGGGUGUUGAAUUUUGUCAAAUGCUUUCCCAGCAUCUAAUGAAAUGAUCACGUGGUUUUGUUCUUUCAGUUUGUUUAUAUAAUGGAUCACGUUGAUGGUUUUCCGUACAUUAAACCAUCCCUUCAUGCCUGGGAUGAAGCCUACUUGAUCAUGGUGGAUGAUUGUUUUGAUGUGCUCUUGGAUUCAGUUUGCCAGAAUUUUAUUGAGUAUUUUUGCGUCAAUAUUCAUAAGGGAAAUUGGUCUGAAGUUCUCUUUCUUUGUUGUGUCUUUGUGUGGUUUAGGUAUAAGAGUAAUUGUGGCUUCAUAGAAGGAAUUCGGUAGUGCUCCAUCUGUUUCAAUUUUGUGGAAUAGUUUGGAUAAUAUUGGUAUGAGGUCUUCUAUGAAGGUCUGAUAGAAUUCUGCACUAAACCCGUCUGGACCUGGACUCUCUUUGGUUGGGAGACCUUUAAUGACUGCUUCUAUUUCCUUAGGAGUUAUGGGGUUGUUUAACUGGUUUAUCUGUUCCUGAUUUAACUUCGGUACCUGGUAUCUGUCUAGGAAAUUGUCCAUUUCCUGCAGAUUUUCAAGUUUUGUUGAAUAUAGGCUUUUAUAGUAAGAUCUGAUGAUUUUUUGAAUUUCCUCUGAAUCUGUAGUUAUGUCUCCCUUUUCAUUUCUGAUUUUGUUAAUUUGUAAACACUCUCUGUGUCCUCUCGUUAGUCUGGCUAAGGGUUUAUCUCUCUUGUUGAUUUUCUCAAAGAACCAACUUUUGGUUCUGUUGAUUCUUUCUAUGGUCCUUUUUGUUUCUACUUGGUUGAUUUCAGCUCUGAGUUUGAUUAUUUCCUGCCUUCUACUCCUCCUGGGUGUAUUUGCUUCUUUUUGUUCUAGAGCUUUUAGGUGUGCUGUCAAGCUGCUGACAUAUGCUCUUUCCUGUUUCUUUCUGCAGGCACUCAGCGCUAUGAGUUUUCCUCUUAGCACAGCUUUCAUUGUGUCCCAUAAAUUUGGUAUGUUGUACCUUCAUUUUCAUUAAAUUCUAAAAAGUUUUUAAUUUCUUUCUUUAUUUCUUCCUUGACCAGGUUAUCAUUGAGUAGAGCAUUGUUCAAUUUCCACGUAUAUGUGGGCAUUCUUCCCUUAUUGUUAUUGAAGACCAGUUUUAGGCCGUGGUGGUCCGAUAGCACGCAUGGGAUUAUUUCUAUCUUUCUGUACCUGUUGAGGCCCGUUUUUUGACCAAUUAUAUGGUCAAUUUUGGAGAAAGUACCAUGAGGUGGUGAGAAGAAUGUAUAUCCUUUUGUUUUAGGAUAGAAUGUUCUAUAAGUAUCUGUUAAGUCCAUUUGGCUCAUGACUUCUCUUAGUCUGUCUAUGUCUUUGUUUAAUUUCUGUUUCCAUGAUCUGUCCAUUGAUGAAAUCUCCUACUAUUAUUGUGUGAGGUGCAAUGUGUGUUUUGAGCUUUAGUAAGGUUUCUUUUAUGUAUGUAGGUGCCCUUGUAUUUGGGGCAUAGAUAUUUAGGAUUGAGAGUUCAUCUUGGUGGAUUUUUCCUUUGAUGAAUAUGAAGUGUCCUUCCUUAUCUUUUUUGAUGAAUUUUAGUUGAAAAUUGAUUUUAUUUGAUAUUAGAAUGGCUACUCCAGCUUGUUUCUUCUGACCAUUUGCUUGGAAAGUUGUUUUCCAGCCUUUCACUCUGAGGUAGUGUCUGUCUUUGUCUCUGAGGUGUGUUUCCUGUAGGCAGCAGAAUGCAGGGUCCUUGUUGCGUAUCCAGUUUGUUAAUCUAUGUCUUUUUAUGGGGAGUUGAGGCCAUUGAUGUUGAGAGAUAUUAAGGAAUAGUGAUUACUGCUUCCUGGUACAUUCAUAUUUGGAUGUGAGGUUAUGUUUGUGUGCUUUUCUUCUCUUUGUUUUGUUGGCAAGAUGAUUAGUUUUUUGCUUUUUCUAGGGUGUAGCUUGCCUCCUUAUGUUGGGCUUUACCAUUUAUUAUCCUUUGUAGUGCUGGAUUUGUAGAAAGAUAUUGUGUAAAUUUGUUUUUAUCCUGGAAUAUGUUGGUUUUUCCAUCUAUGUUAAUUGAGAGUUUUGCAGGAUACAGUAACCUGGGCUGGCAUUUGUGUUCUCUUAGGGUCUGUAUGACAUCUGUCCAGGAUCUUCUGGCUUUCAUAGUCUCUGGCGAAAAGUCUGGUGUGAUUCUGAUAGGUCUGCCUUUAUGUGUUACUUGACCUUUUUCCCUCAUUGCUUUUAAUAUUCUUUCUUUAUUUUGUGCGUUUGGUGUUUUGACUAUUAUGUGACGGGAGGUGUUUCUUUUCUGGUCCAAUCUAUUUGGAGUUCUGUAUGCUUCUUGUAUGCCUAUGGGUAUCUCUUUCUUUAGGUUAGGGAAGUUUUCUUCUAUGAUUUUGUUGAAGAUAAUCACUGGUCCUUUGAGCUGGGAGUCUUCACUCUCUUCUAUACCUAUUAUCCUUAGGUUUGAUCUCCUCAUUGAGUCCUGGAUUUCCUGUAUGUUUUGGACCAGUAGCUUUUUCUGCUUUACAUUAUCUUUGACAGUUGAGUCGAUGAUUUCUAUGGAAUCUUCUGCUCCUGAGAUUCUCUCUUCUAUCUCUUGUAUUCUGUUGGUGAUGCUUGUAUCUGUGGCUCCUUGUCUCUUCUUUUGGUUUUCUAUAUCCAGGGUUGUUUCCAUGUGUUCUUUCUUGAUUGCUUCUAUUUCCAUUUUUAAUUCCUUCAACUGUUUGAUUGUGUUUUCCUAGAAUUCUUUCAGGGAUUUUUGUGAUUCCUCUUUGUAGCUUCUACUUUUUUAUUUAUGUUUUCCUGUGUUUGUCUAAGGGAGUUCUUCAUGUCUUUCUUGAAGUCCUCCAGCAUCAUGAUCAAAUAUGAUUUUGAAACUAGAUCUUGCUUUUCUGGUGUGUUUGGAUAUUCUGUGUUUGUUUUGGUGGGAGAAUUGGGCUCCGAUGAUGGCAUGUAGUCUUGGUUUCUGUUGCUUGGGUUCCUGCGCUUGCCUCUCGCCAUCAGAUUAGCUCUAGUGUUACUUUGUUCUGCUAUUUCUGACAGUGGCUAGACUGUCCUAUAAGCCUGUGUGUCAGGAGUGCUGUAGACCUGUUUUCCUGUUUUCUUUCAGCCAGUUAUGGGAACAGAGUGUUCUGCUUUCGGGCGUGUAGUUUUUCCUCUCCACAGGUCUUCAGCUGUUCCUGUGGGCCUGUGUCUUGAGUUCACCACGCAGGUUGCUUGCAGCAGGAAGGUUUGUCUUACCUGUGGUCCCGAGGCUCAAGUUUGCUCGUGGGGUGUUGCUUAUGAGCUCUCUGCAGCGGCAGCAACCAGGAAGAUCUGCGCCGCCCUUUCCGGGAACUUCCGUGCACCAGGGUUCCAGAUGGUGUUUGGUGUUUUCCUCUGGAAUCAGAAAUGUGGGCAGAGUGCUGUCUCUUCUGAUUUCCCAGGCGUGUCUGCCUCUCUGAAGGUUUAGCUCUCCCUCCCACGGGAUUUGGGUGCAGAGGACUGUUUAUCUGGUCAGUCCCUUCAGGUUCCGGUGGUGUCUCAGACGCAGGGGACCUGCUGCUCCUGUGCCCUUAUCUCCAGGAACCUAGAGGCCGUAUACAGUUUCCUCUUGGGCCAGGGAUGUGGGCAGGGGUGGGCAGUGUUGGUGGUCUCUUCCACUCUGCAGCCUCAGGAGUGCCCACCUAUCCGGGCGGUGAGCUCUCUCUCCCACGGGGUUUAGGAGCAGUGAGCUGCUGCAGGGUCCUUAACAUUUCUUGAUGCUGCCAGCAUCUCCAAAGCUUUUGGGCUUCAACCUUCUGGCCCCAGUGAAGACCCACGUUCCGAAGAUCUACCCUGUAUACAUCCGCAGGAUUCCCUCAGGUUGCUGACAUUUUCUGUCUCAUCUGUGAUCGCUUGACUCCUCCAUUGUUGAUUUCUGACUUGAGUCUUCUUAGCACGGGAGCAAAGCUGCCCGUGUGCUGUUAGUGUUGACCCUGACUGCGGGAGAGAUUGCAGUGAGCCAAAGGAGCACAGCUCUAUCCACUGGAAACAGUGGGAGUCCUGAAGCCAGCACAUGCUUGACACAGUUCCGGCAGAGCUGAGCCGAAUGUGAUUGCUGCCAUUUCGCCGCCAUUUCACCUCUCACUUUAGGUUUCGGUCUCUGUGUGCUGUGUUCUUGGGCACCUUCUGCACUGUGUUCCACUUUAUGUCUUUUCCCUGAGAAUUACAUCGGAGUUUUCCUUUCAGGAAACUUGUAAACUUACUGUCCCUUCUGCUUUUACGGAAAUGGCUUUAUCCAGACCUGUUUGUAAGUCUUCCUUAUGCUCUGGAGAUUAAGAUAAGCACUAAGCUAGGAAUUUCCAAAUGAAGUCACGAGUCCAGGAAUCUCUUUGGUGGGUGCCCACCCCUAAGCAAACUCAAACAGUAUAAUUGGGACAAGGGCAAACUUAGAGAUCACUGACAAACCUCGACCGGCCAGGAGAAUUGGUAACAGGUUCAAGGCCUCUUUUUUACAAUGUACUUAGAGGUCUCUGAAAAUGUAGCUUAAAGAAAGAGGUCGUACAGGGUCUACCUCCAGAGGAAUAGAAUUCAAUAAAUAAGAUAGUUUGACAAAAAUAAAUGUUUCCUGCUUUAUAACCUACAUGACGGAACCAUAUAGUCAAAGUGGAUAGGCAUUAGUGUUUGCUGUCAUAAAAAUACCAGCUCAGAUAUUUUCUGUUUGCCUGGAUUGCUUUACAACCGCAAAUACUGCCAGCCUAAAAGCAGGCCGUCAUGGCUGUCAUAUAAUAAAUGUGUUUGCUUCAGCAGAGGCAUUCUUUAGAGUUGGUGUUAAAGAGUUAAUAAUAAAGAUAAAAUCUGUUCUACUUGUAUUUUCUAAUCGUGAUUGAACUUGUAACCCAAACAUUUAAGGAGAAAACAAACACAUGUACAGAGACAAAUGGGUAAAAUCAGUAUUUCUUGGACAUUCAUUAGUCUGUCUUUGUUCUAUGAAACCUGUAUAAAUAGAAACCACCUGAUGCCCAGUCAGUCAGAGCUACAAGAUUCUCCACAAAUCUGUCUGACUGGUUCCUUCCUUACCGACUCCUUGCCUCCUCUCUGGCCGCCAUGUCAACUACUGAGGUUGGCCCCCAGCAGAAAACCCCAACAGUUAAGCUGGAUCAAACUCCCAAAUAACUAAGGUCCCAAGUCAUCCCCGACAUUUACUUUUCGUGGCUACAGAAACAAGGUGGGAUAUAUAGGGAUCUUACUACUUUUCUCUUCCUUUUCACUUUUUUUUUUUUAAAGAAUUUUACUUUAGUGGUUAAGCGUGGGCAUUGCUUUUACAGAAGACCCUUAUUCAGUUUGAGGCAUCAGUGUCUGUCAGAUGGCUCAACAUCACCUGUAACUGCAGCCUGUUUGAUGUACCUGGCCUGCAGAGGUCUCAUAUGUGUGUAUAGGUAACACAUGGUGCCAGUGUGGAGGCCUGAAGACAGCUCUCGGGAGUGGAUUCUCUCCUUCCACUUUCAGGGGACUGAACUCAGGUCAUUAUGUGGGUAUAUGCCUUUAAUCUGAGCAUUGGGAUUCAGAGACAAGGAGAUCUCUCUCAGUCAAGUCUGGUAUACAAAAUGAGUUGGGGGCCAGUCAGGGCUACAUAAGGACUUAAUCCCGACCCAGAAAUCAAACAGAAACCGUGACAUUCCAUAUCAUAAAGCAAUUACAAAAUAAAGGUGUGGGCUGGAGAGAUGGCUCAGCAGUUAAGGGCACUUGUCCUUGCAGAGGACUGAGGUUUGGUUCCCAGCACCCACACAUCGGCUCUCAACCAUCCAUAACUCCGGACCCAGUGAUCUGACACAGUCUUGGCCUCCGCCAGCACCAGGCACAUGUGUGGUAUACAGACAUAGAAGCAGGCAGCAUCCCUGGGUAGAGGGAUCCUGCAUUGUGUAAGACUGGAGAAAGUGAGCUGACAGUUGUCGUGCAAGCAUCUAUUACUGCUCUCUUCAUCUUAAAGGGGAUGCCUUGACCAGUUGCCUGGAGGGGCUGCUGCUGUGACUUUUCUACCUUGAGGGAGCCUGGAUAUAACCUGGAACUGGGGGCCAGUAUAACCCCCCUUUUGUCAAUGUGUUUUAUCACAGUGAAAGAGAAGCUAAGACACGUGAAUGGUCAUCAUGUGACCACUACGCCUUUUUCCUUUGAAACUCUGUUUUCUUUCUCCUGACUAGAGCUUCAUUUUAACUAACAAUACAUUUGUUUGAGACAAAGUUUCACUCCACCGCUCAGGCUAGCCUGAGACUUACUACUGCAAACCAGACCCGCCUGCAACUUACAGUGAGUCUCUUCCACAGCCUCUGGCGUGCUGGGAUUACUGGUGUCCGUUACAAUGACUUAGGGUCCUUUGCUGAGCCUUGAGCUCACUGAUUUGCUGGACUGGCUGAACUGGGGAUCCACCCGUCUCUCUCUCCCCAGUGCUCAUGUUACGGGUGCACUGCCAUACACGGCUUUUUAUAUAGGUGCUGGGGGUCUGAACCCAGGUCAGGUUUACACAGCAAGCACAUCACCAACUUAGCUAUCUAGUGUGUAUAUGCAUGUAUUCCUGUGUGCUACAUUCAUGCAGUGCCCACGGAGGCCACACACACACACACACACACACACACACACACACACACACACACACACGGGACGGGAGCUGGGGCUGCAGGAAUCAAGUUAUACCUAGAGAAAGAAGAACAGAGAACAGUGUCCAGUGUCCUCCCAUAUGCUGCUCAGGGGAAGAGUAGGGUAGGUGUCUGGGAAGGAGAGGUUGGAAAUGUACUUUAGAACUCAGUCACGGAGUGCUCAGUCCUGCUCUAGGGGAGCAAGGGACAAGCCUCGAGGUCAACAUCAGAACCUGGUGCAUCUCCCUGGAGGCUGACAAGGAGUCUGUGGAAGAGAAAGGGACGCUGAUGCUUCUACUCUUCACCCUUCAGGGCCACAGUGAUGCAUCGUGUGGUCUGACCAAUCACACUCCUAGAUGCCGAGCUGGGGCAGCAAUCUCUAGCUUGUGUGUUUCUCUGCGGGAGGCUCUUAGGAUUCAGAUACCUUCCACCCUGAGGCGAGCAGCAUUUUCAACACUCACAAAGACCCAUUCUUGGUAAUUGUUUGGCUUAUCGCAUUUCCAAACACAGGCGAAUCCAUCUGUGUUCGCUCCUCUCGGAGGAUGAGAGCCCUCACGUUUCCCCCAACUUUCCGUGAACAAUGAGGGUCAUGAACAUUGAAGGCAAAGAAAGAGCUCUGGGCCAUACCCAAACUGUCAUGGCUGGGAGCCAGAGUUGGAGCCAGCCUCUCAGUUGCUCCUCUGCUUUUCACGGCUGGCGGAUUGAGCUCAGGAGAAUUUGUAAACCUAAGGGAAAGGUGUCAAAGAGGAUGGGGAAGCAAGAUCUUAGUACUCUAGUCUAUUAAAAAAAAAUCAAUGGGGAGAAUCGAGGACAUAUUAGGGGACUUGCAUAGACUUCUGGGGUAUUCUAAGAAUGCUGUGGGUUAAGGGAUUCUGUGAACUCUGCUGGGAAGCUGCCGACCUCUGUGGGAAAGUGUGUUCCUGACUUUCAAAUCGGGAUGUCUGGGACAUGUCUCCACCAUCAACAUUCCUGAGGGAUUCACAGGAAUUCUGCUGUUUGAUGUCACAGAUGGGGCUGCAGCCAGAGGCUCCGUACGGUGAGAACACAUGGUGGAUGUAAGCGUUGACUUUUAUCCCCACAGAGAAGGGAAAUUUUCUACUAACAAGAGUAGUAUUUCUAGUGCCAGAACCCUAUCCAUCCGUAUCUUAUGGAAAGACAAGAAGCUCAGAAGCUGCUGGAAGGGAGCCCAGCGCUCAGGACCCCAGGAAACAGCCAGAGUUCUGUUGCUGGUACGCCCGACUUGGUUUCCUCCCAUGCUGUCGUGGAAUCUGUAUGGCCGACAAUAUCCCCGGAUCCUGGACUACCUUCAAAGCCUAUCUGGCCACAAGUGUGACAUUGAUGCAGUGUCUCAUUUCCCUUUUCACUCUGGGGACAAGUGACAUUGGCACUAUGCCUGGGCAGACCCUGAGAAGCUAUGGAAGGGGUUAAAGGUUUCCGUGACCAGCACCUGGCAGGCUCUGUCUGCUUCCAGAGAAUGUUACUUCUCAACGGCUUCUGUUUCUUUUUGGUUAGAAACAGAAACAAAAUAUCUAUCUUGUGUAGAUUUGGUUUACAAAAAAAUAACUCAGAAAAAUGUACAAUAGUGGCUAAGCUUCUCUCAAUACCACUGCUGGGAUACAGUGGUUGACAUGCACAGAGAGCUGUGUGCGAUGUGUUUCAUGAGUAUUUCUUCCCAUUCCGGUAGCGUCACAGCGAUGAAGUUGCCUAAGUGAUGCUUUUCUCAGCAUGUACCACCAUGGUCAAGUGACUUGUGGCUGUAUGAAUUCACAUGCACACAGAAAUGGAAGGGUUAGGAGUUACAGGAAAAAAAAUAAUGAGUGGCCAGCCCCGCCCCAUUUUCUCUUUAGAAAUUUAAUUUGCUAGGGGGUGGGCUCAAAGGUAGAGCACUGUCUAGCAGGUGCGAAGCUUUAUAUUCAAGCCAUAGUACUGAGGUGGAAUCUGUCUUUGAUGGCUCUGUAUACACAAUGGCAUGUUUAGACAGCAUUCUUCCCUGGGGUGCUGGGUUCACAGCACCUACCUCAUGGACUGCACUGUGCGUUUCACAGAGGUCAUGGGAGCUGUCUGUGGAAAAAUGUCUGAUGACUUCUCCCAUUGAUGAAAUCCAGAGACCAAAGGCAGAGGCCUUUCCAAACUUGAGCUGUAGAAGCUUCUAUUACCACAGACUACGGCAUUUACCAGCAACCAGAAAAGGAAGGUACGGGGGCUGGACAGACAGCUCAGCAGUUAGGAGCACUGACUAUUCUUCCAGAAGACUCAGGUUCUGUUCAAUUCCCAGCACCUACGUGGCAGUUGACGACACCCUCACACAGAUGUACAUGCUGGCAAAACACGAAUGCACUUAUAAAAUAAGUUCUUUGUUUUUUGUUUUAAAAGGAAGUUAUGACAUUAAAUAAUGGGGUAAAUUCAUUCCAUCUUGGGGAAGUAUGGAACACUUUUUUUUUUGUUCGUUUCUUUUGUUCUUUGUUUUUUAAGGGCGUGAUGGGCUCUAUCUAGUUGGGGUUGAGAAAGCUGCUCAGAACCAUUUUUUUUUAAAGAUUUAUUUAUUUUACGUAUAUAAGUACACUGUGGCUGUCUUCAGACACAUCAGAAGAGGGCAUCAGAUCUCAUUACAGAUGGUUGUGAGCCACCAUGUGGUUGCUGGGAUUUGAACUCAGGACCUUUGUAAGAGCAGUCAGUGCUCUUAACCACUGAGCCAUCUCUCUCCAGCCCCAGAACCAUUUUUUAAAAUAGAUUAGAAUAGAUAAGAUCUCACUGUUCAGCUCUUCUGAGAUAGGAGGAGGAGCAUAUGGACUUUACUGUGUAGCUACUUUGGUUCAAGGCCAGCUUUGGGAUAUAUAUAUUCCCGGGGGGAGGGAAUAAAACUAUUUACAGAAAUAAGGAUGUUUGCCACGAUUGCUCAGGAGUGAAUUUUGGUGAGGAAUGAUCAAGAUGACUGUCCCCCCUCUCUUCCCUCCCUCAAGCCCUCCUUCUCCUCCCACCCCCCUCUUCAAACACUUAGACCACACUAGCUUUAACUUCAUGGAGACCCACCUGCCCCUGUCUCCCCAGUGCUGGGUUCAAAGGUUUAACUGGCCUAAUUUUACCCCUUUGCUCUAGAAUUAAUAAUGGGUUGAGGUGGGAGGACACUCCUUUAACCCAGCAUUGGGGAGGCAGAGGCAGAGGCAGAGGUAGGCAGCUCUCAGUGAGUUCAAGCAUUGCUACACCAUUUAUCUCUUUGCUUUUUUAUUUACUUUAGUUUUAUAUCUUAUUUUGGGACAAGGUCUUGCUAUGUAGAUCUGGCAGGCCUGGUACUCACUGUGCAUCCCCCACCCCCACCACCAAUGGCCUAAAACUUGAAACAGUCCUCCUGGGUUCUGGGAGUAUGCCCGCCUCCCAACUCUUCUCUUUCUGCGUUUUUCGUUCUCUCAGUGCACCUGACUUCCUAUUACACACACACACACACACACACACACACACACACACACACACACACACACACACACAUUAAUAUAGAUCCAUACAGAGACCAGAAAGGAUGACGGAUCCCCUGGAGAUGAGUUACAGACGGUUGUGAGCUGCCUGACAUGGGUGUGGGAACUGAACUCCGGCCUUCUGCAAGAGCAGUACGACCCUUAACCAUUGAGCUUUCUCUCUAGCCCCAAGGGGAGGUGAGGAUGUUUGCCUCCUGUGUUUUCACAAAAGAUUCCCAGGGUUAUAAUCUACUGGCCAACACCACCAUCUGAGUUUAUAUGUACAGUUUUGGACCCAUACCCUGUGAGUCGCCCUCCCAUCCCAAAACAAAACAAAGAAUGUGGUAGUCAUCAACACUUAAGCACUGAGGAAUUUGACAGAAAAACCUGUAUGUUCUGCUAGUGUUAAAAAGUAGAGGUUCGGGCUGGAGAGAUGGCUCAGUGGUUAAAAGCACCGACUGCUCUUCCAGAGGUCCUGAGUUCAAAUCCCAGCAACCACAUGAUGGCUCACAACCAUCUGAAAUGAGACCUGAUGCCCUCUUCUGGUGUGUGAAGACAGCUACAGUGUGCUCAUAUAUAAUAAAUCUUUAAAAAAAAAAAGUAGAGGUUCUGGGGACAUUAGCUUCCCACUGUAGCACGAGAAUACAUGAUUCUAUUUGGAAACGUGACUGCCCAGGUUCUCACAGCAUCUCUACAUGCCACUCCCCCCCACCUUGCUUAUUUAUAUGACCCAAUCAAUGUUGACAGGAGUCUUAGAGCCCCGCCCUCCCAGCGUGACAGCAGUCACCAAUAGGAACAGCGUGGCUACUUGAUACUGGGUCUGCGGACUGGUGAUGCUCUUUCACUAAAGUGGGGGCGUCCCUGGAGCCUCACCUGAGAUUGCAGGCUCUCCUCGUGCAUCUUCUCCUGGCCAGUUGUUUACAAUUCUACCCUAAUUGCACGUGGUUCGAGGGAGGUGCUAGAGUGUGAACAGGUUAGCCGAAGGGGCGGGGCACAUCUACGCUGCUGCUGCUGCUGCUGCUGCUGCUGCUGCUGCUGCUGCUGCUGCUGCUGCUGCUGCUGCUGCUGCUGCUGCUGCUGCUGCUGCUGCUGCUCCUCCUCCUCCUCCUCCUCCUCCUCCUUCCCCCCUAGGGAACCCAUCCUCCGUGUGGGGCUGAGAUUUUCCCAGUGUAGCUGCUUUGUUGUCACCAUGCUCUUGUAAGGAGCCCUGUCCUCUGUAAGAAGCCCUUUGUAAGUAAGCCGGGUAACCUCAUUGGCUCCCCAAGUUGGACUCCGUGGAACUGAACUUUGGUUUGUCAUUGGUCCCUCUAAGGAUAGAUGCUUGCUUAUACCAAACUGGUGUCCCCCACCCCCACCCCCGCCCAGGGAAAGACUACAAGCGUUUAAAAUUUCAACUCCUGGACUAUCGGCCAGAGUCCAGUUCUUUAGCCUCAUAUAGAGAUGGGUGAUUCCUACUGACGUUUUGAGAUUACUUCUACCAUUUUCUCCUCCUACCUUUAUAUCUGGAAAAGAAGUUUCUCCCAAGAUCCUCACCGGGUCACCCUCAGGACUCCUGAUACACUGGAAACCCGUCUCCACUCACCGAACCAUUUUUAUUUUCUGAAGGCUGUUCCUUAUCUUUGUAGCUUUGACUGAAAAAAAAAAAAAACCACCUCGGGGAUAAUUGAAGCUCACUUCAGGUGUGUCUGUGAGAGCUCGUCCUAAGGUCCGUUGGCUACUCCCUCAUCAGAGCUGAUUACGUUUCUGUCAGUUGCUGCAAUGACCUCCUAGUUCAUGUUCCAGCUCUAACUUUACACCUCUGCUGAUCAGAAGGAUGAAUUUUAAAAUUCUACCACGUCGACCAGCUCCUCACCGACGUUAUAUCCUCGAGUGGACAAAGAUCGAAUGAAUCUGUGAUCAGCCUGGAGUGGAGACGCGGAAGCCUUGUUCAGCACAUGUCAGUGAUUGACAGAAGGUGGAGGGAGUGAGGGCUGACCAUUCCUGCAACUAUGUUUGAAAUUACUGGACUCUCAUUCUGUGCAAGGGUUAAAGGGUGACCUGGGGAGGCAGGGGGAAAGACUGAUCUCGACGUUCAGGAUGGAGAGCACAGGAUGAAAGCAGACUGGAAUGAGAAGAGAGAAGAACGAAAUUAGAAUCAUAACUUUGGCUUCUAAUGAGUUGGCAAGCAAGAGGGGUUUUUCUCACUAAUGCAAAGGAAAUGAUUUUUUUUUUUUAUAAAUCCCAGCAGUGUCUGAAACCAUCUCCUAAAAAGAUGUGAAGAAAGGGACACUCACAGACACCACACAGGAGGAGGGAAAUCUAAAACAGGGUAUGGAGUUAUAUUUCCUUUUGAAGUUGGGGAGAGGAGCAAAGAAACUCCUUUGUGUGUGAAAAAAGUGUGAUUCAUUUGUUCAUCCCUCCCCCUUCCCCUCUGUCUCUGUCUCUGUCUCUGUCUCUGUCUGUCUGUCUGUCUGUCUCUUGCCACAACCAUUUUUAUGAACUUGGGAUGUCUGUUUCUGACAUCUGCACAAGCAUUUCAAGGUAAGUAUGUUAGGUGUCAGUGCAGACCAGGGCUGGGCUGGUGAGCAGGUCAGUGAGAUUAACAGUGCUUGCAGCCAAGCCUGGGGUUCUGUGUGCAAUGGUGGGACACAAGAACCAACUCCUACAAGUCAUACUGUGAUCAUGGCACCUGCAUGCUUACACACACACACACACACACACACACACAGGCACGCACACACACGGUAGUUUUAUUCCUUAAAAAUAAAUAAAUAAAAGGACACAGAUCUGACUAAAGGCACAGCAUGUGGUCUCCGGGCCAGUCUGCGUCCUAAAUGGUUAAAUCUGGUUUGUUCUGUAUCAAAAUCCAAGAGAAUUAAAAGUACAGCAUGAAGGCUGACAGCAGAUGAAAGACAGAGGUGUCGAGUCUCACUCUGUGAGGCACAAAGACAGAUGGACUAGUUAAGAACCUAAUCAAAUGAGGCGAAGUCCCAUUUCCUGGGCUGGGCAAUCUACCUACUCGGGAACACAGAGGAUUUAUGGGGAAGACGGUUUGCAUCUAUUAAAAUACAUCUGGCUCCAUUUGAGGCAGAAGCAUUUGAAUCUGACAGCAAUGGAACAGCCAGAAAAUAACCAUCAUGAAACGGUGAUUUUGUUGCAACGUACCUAAAAAUACCACCAUCAAAAGCUUACUCAACAGUGCCUUCGAGUUACAUACUCUAUAAAAAGAAAAAAAAAAAACAGGAAAGGCAUUUUACAGUAAACAUGUAUUAGGGCUGGUAGAGGAAGCCCAGGAGAGGGAGAUGAGAAGGGACAGUUGAACCUCCGUUUACACACAGGCUGUGGAAAGUUCUGGUGGCGUCCAUCCGUGGGCUGUGGGAUCCAGCUUGCUUUUGCACAGCGUUGCCUGAGGCAGCUAGCAGGAAGGAAGGACUUUGUAUCUAAUUCAUUUCCUCAGAGCAAAGAGCUUUUUGACAGUUAUCUCCCCAAGAAGGGUGAUGUCUCUCUAAGCCAUUAAAAGCCAUGCAGGAAUGCUGUGGUACACAAACAGGUCAGGUUGGAUCCUUAGAUUGCUAGGUAGGGUUUGGUUGUGUCAGGAGACCUUGACUUCUCAAAUUCUACACUCUUCUGUUGUCCCCUUUCCUCCCUCCUUCCCCCAUUGCUUCCCCACUCCUCUUUCUUUUUCGUUUUCUGACCCAAGAUUUCACUGUGUAGUCCAGGCUUCAAGCCACAACAAUCCACUUGCCUUAGCCCUCUGCAUCCUGGGAUUAAACGUUUGUGGCACCAAUAUACCUUUGCCAAAAUCUAAACUGUCAUCGGCAACAUAAUCUGGGUCACUUUACAGUGUUGAUGUGACAAUUAAAUAUGUCCACACUCCCUAUGUCCACGUGGAAAGUGGUCAUUAACUCCUCAGACUCCACCUGAAUUCACGACCAUCUGCAAUGGCAUCUAAUGCCCUCUUCUGGUGUGUCUGAAGACAGCUGCAGUGUACCCAUAAAAUAAAUAAAUCUUAGAAAAAAAAAGCUCUAUAUUUCCAGGGUCAGGGGUUUAUAUGAUCAAGGGCCUCGGACACGUGGCAGGGUUUGCCCAGCAAGUCCAAGGCUCUGGUUCAAUCCCCAACAUUGUGGAAAUCAUAUUACACGGCGAUGCAACCAGGCCAUAGUUCUGUGAAUAUUGACUAUUACAUUCAGAACAUUGAUGUGGUUGUCUUAACCCGGCCAUUAAGUGACACAGUAUUGUCACUUAAAUUGUCCUAAAUUGAAUCCAGUAGACGUUUGCACAACUAAUGGCUACAGGUUCAUAGUAGUGUGUGUGUGUGUGUGUGAGUGUGUGUGUGUGUGAGUGUGUGAGUGUGUGGUGUGUUUAUGUGAGUGUGUAUGUGGUGUGUUUAUAUGAGUGUGUGUGUGGUGUGUUUAUGUGAGUGUGUGAGAGUGUGAGUGCUUGUGUGGAAUGUGGUGUGAAUAUGAGUGUGUGUAUGUGAUUGUGCGUGUAUAUUUGUGAUAAUGUGUUUGUGAGUAUGAGUGUAUGUGUGUAUGUGAGUUUGUGUCUGUGUAUGAUGUGUACACGUGUGAGUGUGUGUGUGGUGCAUGUGAGUAUGUGUAUGUGAAUGUGUGUGUGAGUAUAUAUGUGUGUGGUCUGUGUGUGAGUGUGUGUGUGGUAUGUGUAUAUGAGAAUGAGUGUAUGUGUGUAUGAGAGUUUGUGUUUGUGUUUGUGUAUGAUGUGUAUAUGUGUGCGUGUGUGUGCGGUAUGUGUAUAUGAGAAGUGUAUGUGUGGUGUGUAUAAUGUCUGUGUGGUGUGCUGUGCAUGUGAGUGUAUAUUUGUGGUAUAUGUGUAUGAGUGUAUGUGUGUGUCCAAAUUUGUGUUUGUGGUAUAUGAUGUGUAUAUGUGUGAGUGUGUAUGUGGUAUGUGUGGUGCAUGUGGGUAUAUGUGUGUGUGAAUGUGUAAGUAUAUGUGUGUGUGUAUGUGUAUGUGUGAAUGUGUGUGUGUAUAAUAUCUGUGUGGUGUGAGUGUGUGUAUGUAGUAGAAGUCAUGGAGUGCUCCAAGCACUGAGCCUUUGCGUGCUGUAGAAAGACAUAUUUAAUUUUUUCAUUAACAUUUUAAACCUUUAUUUAUUUGAUUUUAUGUGUGAAUGUCUUCCCUGUAUUCACAUGUGGGCGUCAUGUGUGUGCCUGUUGGAUCCCCUGGAACUGGGGUUAUGGUGGUUGUGAGCCACCAUGCUGCUUGCUGGGACUCUAUGGAAGAGCGGUGUCUUUGGAAAUGUUGAGCCCUAUUUUUAGCCUCACCAAAGAGAUUUCUUUUAUAUAAAUAAAUUUCCCAACGUGAUUGUUCUUCAGAGACCAAUCAGGCAGAAUUAUCCUUUUGGGUCUAUCUGUUCAGGGGUCAGGGGACAAUAUCAGAUCAGACCAGACUCAUCUCAGAUUACAGGGACCACUGCAUCCUGUCCGGGCUGAUCAGUCGGCACGGCGAGCUGCCGUCAUAGCUUUUGUACCCACAGACAGCAUCACAAACAAAGCGGUACGGGGCGCGUGUGUGAACUUGCAGGGGACUCUGACGAAGCCGAAGAAGAUUCUCAUCCACCUCGUCACUGAGCAUGAGCGGAUACCAUGAGCUGGCUCCCCGCCGGCUGGGAGCACAUGCGACACCCGAGUUUCACAGUUUCACGUAGGUGUUGGAACUGCUGGUGCGGAGGUCACAGGAGAUGGUGAGCCACGCCUGAUGCUGGCCGUGACGUCAGGGCAACACUCAGCCAGAGUCCCUCUAAGGAGAUGAAGCCACAGCCAGCCUGGGAGGUCCCCUAGGACCUCUGUGAGAGGACCCUGGCUUGGUUUCCAGCACCUACAUGAUGACUCAGUCACAUCUGUCACUUCAGUCCAGGGAAUCAGAUGUCCUCUUCUGACUGUCAUGGGCAACAGGCAUAUGUGCAAAAUAAAUCUUAAAAAAUGAAAACCAAGAUGUCCCAACAGGUAAAGGCACUUGCUACUAAGCCCAACGACCCGAGUUUGGUCCCUGAGACCCUCAUGGUGAAUGGAAAAAGCAGACUGAACCAUGUCACCUUCUGACAUCUACAUGUGUGCCAUGUGCCUCCCCUGAAUAAAUACACAGAUGUUAUAAAAACAAAA